UGGGAAGUCAUCGAAUCGUGAGGAUGGGUCUUUCCUGUGCUGUUCUUGUCACAGAGAAUCAGUCUCAUGAGAUCUGAUGGUUUUAGAAAGGGAAGCUCCCCUGCAUAUGCUGUCCUGCCUGCCACCAUGUGAGACGUGUCUUGCUUCCCCUUUGCUCUCCACCAUGAUUGUGAGGCCUCCUGAGCCAUGUGGAACUGUGAGUCCAUUAAACCUCAUUCCUUUAUGAAUUACCCAGUCUUGGGUACGUCUUUAUUAGCAGCAUGAGGACAGACGAAUACGAUGUUGCUGUCUUCCACCUCCACCUCUUGUCCCACUGGAAGGUCUUCAGGAGCAAUAGCACACAUGGAACUGGUCUUUCCUGUGAUAAUGAUGCCUUCUUCUGGACACCUCCUGAAGGACUUACCUGAGGCUGUUUUACAGAUGACUUCAUCUGCAUCUUUCGCGGAUCGGGCCUUUUCCCCACGUAACCACGACACAUACGACUGCCCUUCACUCCUAACUAAACUAAGAAGACUUCCUUUACCUCUAUAGCAUCAAAUACAAGUUCAUAUCCAAGUUCCCCUAAUUAUCCAGAGAUGUAUUUUUACAGUUGGUUUGUUUGAAUCAAGAGCCAAACAAGUUCUCAUUUCCUUCAAUGGAGCCUGUUUCAGCCUCUUUCCUCCCUUCUGUGCCCCCACUGGCUGGUUGCAGUGUCUGGGUCAUUGGCUGCCGUGCCCCCCACCCUGGAUUUGCCGUGUCCUUGUGGUGGUGUUUAACAUGCUUCUCUACCCUUGAAUUUCCUGUCAAUUGCAGUUAAGACAAGGGGACUGCAAGCUUCACAGGUGUGCAGUCUCAUGGGGCCCAGCAUUUAGAAGGGCUCUGUGCUGGGCUUAAUGCUCGGUCAGGUCUGCCUUGUAUCUUGAUAACUUUACCUUUGAACUUGUGUUUUGGAAGGACUGCACAGCAGGGGCAGGAGCACAGGAGAUUUGCACGAUAUGCAUGUCUGCCACUCCUUGCCUGUCCAUUCACACGUGGCAUUGGUGACACCGUGAGUGCAGAAUUCCAGUGACCCCAGGAUGCACGGGAGACCAGCAAGACUCGAGGCCAGGAACAGGUCAUUGUGUGUGUCUGCCACUGAGUCUGUGGGAAAGCCACGCUUUCCACGUGAGGUCCACUUCAAACACAGAAAGAAGGCAGUGGCCUUGUGAAUAACACCAACAACCAAGGACCCUAUUGUACUUUUUCUUACUCAUUCUACUUUCCUGUAUUAGCCAAGCACUUACAGUGAAAACAAUGCAUGGACGGAAAGGGGGAAGACAGGAAAAGCCACAGUUACUUCUUUCAGUUCUUCCAUAUUCACCAGUAAGCUGAAGGCAGUGUGAAGAAGGCAGUAGCACGGCCAGUAUCAAGAAGUGAAAUCAAAAUCCUUGAUUUAGUUUUGCACAGCAUUUCCACUGUUUGGAUAAAAAUCAAAUAUACAUACAUGUUUGAGCUACAAAAUAGGAAUCGUGUAAUCUCUGUGUUUCUGCAUGGGGACCUAAUGCUCUUAUAUUUGUAUUUAAAACUGACAUUGCACAAUAUAAAAUGAACAGUAAAAUUCAGCUAAAAAAUGAAAAUUGAAAUUUUCUUUAUUUAGGAUGACCUUAAGUAGCAAAUAACCAUGGUAAAUCAUUAGAGGGAACAGAGGAAAAUGAAAAAAAAAUUUUAACACCGUUAAGAGCAGUUUUCCCUGUUUUGUGAACAAGGGACUGUGUGUUUUCAUUUUGCAAUUUCUCCCCCCACCUAUCACAAAUGAAGUUGCUGGCCUGGCUCCAGAACCUAUGAGUGUGGAGUAAAGCCCCACCUGUACCUGCACCUGCACCUGCAGAGCUCGGGCUCCCCUCCUCACUCAUAUGCUCUGCGGUCACUGCCCUCUUCGUCUCUAGGUCCGUCCCAGCAGACCAGGAGCACAGAUGGGUCAACCUACUCAGUUCUCCACUGGGCUCCCUGUUCUCAGUAUGGUCUGUGCAUGGAGAAGACUCCUAAGUGCCUUGGAAUAGGAGAGUGAGCUGGGGCAGAGGCCUGGCAGGCAUCCUGGAGAGGGAGGAUGUGAUGUGGACUGGGUCAGUGAUGGAUGGUGGGGAUAAGGGAGAGAGGGUGAAGGCAAGAUUCUUCUCUACAGGGCACUGAAAGCCAGUGUCCAGUGUCGGGCUAAGAUGGAUGUAGGGGUGAAGGAGAGGCAGAGAAACUGGGUUCUGGGUUUAUAGUUUGGGCGACUGGGUGAAUGGGGUGUCUUUACCCUAGCUGCUUCCUAGAGAGAAGGGGUCAGGGUUGUGGGAGGAGACUUCAUGUUCCACUUGGGACCGGCUAAAUUUGAGGUGCCUCAGGAUCAUGCCUGUAGCCAUAUUCAUCACGGAAGAGGGCUCCUGAUUCGGGAGUUGGUGGCUCAUAUACUUCAGCCACAAAAAAGAUGUGACAUUAUCAAAAGAGAGCUAUGGUGGGAGAAGAGGCGAGGGUCAAGGAGAGAAUGUUGGUGAGGGAGAAAAGGGGACUCCAUAGAGAAGGUGAGAAGGGACAGCCACAGAGUCUGAGGAAUGCAGGAGCGGGCAUGGCAGUAGAAGCUGGGAUGGGGGUUGUUGACAGAGCAAGAAGGCAGAGAACAAGAGGGCCAAGUCCUGAAAUGGCCCACUGGGACAAGGAAGAGGACCCAGGCAGGAGAGCUGUGGAGGAGGCAGAGGAAACAGAUCUUACUGACAGAUCUAGUGUUGGGACUGAUGAGAGGGAGAUCCAGAGGAGGUGGCAGGAAACUUGCAAGGCUCUCAUCUUGGGGAAGAGGUGGAAGCAGAGGACGGGAGGCAGGAGAAGGAAUGAGGCUGGGAUGGAACUGAGGAAGGGAGGCGGGGAGAAGGAAUGAGGCUGGGAUGAUGGAGCUGAGGACAGGAGGCAGGAAGAAGGAAUGAGGAUGGGAUGGAGCUGAGGAAGGGAGGCAGGGAGAAGGAAUGAGCCUGGGAUGGAGCUGAGGAAGGGAGGCAGGGAGAAGGAAUGAGGCUGGGAUGGAGCUGAGAAAGGGAGGCAGGGAGAAGGAAUGAGGCUGGGAUGAUGGAGCUUAGGACGGGAGGCAGGGAGAAGGAAUGAGGCUGGCAUGGAGCUGAGGAAGGGAGGCGGGGAGAAGGAAUGAGGCUGGGAUGAUGGAGCUGAGGACAGGAGGCAGGGAGAGGAAGUGAGGCUGGGACGGUGGAGCUGAAGAUGGGAGGCAGGAAGAGGAAGUGAGGCUGGGAUGGUGGAGCUGAGGAAAGGAGGCAGGGAGAAGGAAUGAGGAUGGGAUGAUGGAGCUGAGGAUGGGAGGCAGGGAGAAUGAAUGAGGCUGGAAUGGAGCUGAGGACAGGAGGCAGGGAGGAGUGAGCCUGGGAUGAUGGAGCUGAGGACGGGAGGCAGGGAGAAGGAAUGAGGCCGGGUUAGAGCUGAGGAUGGGAGGCAGGGAGUUGGAGUGAAGCUGGGAUGGUGGAGCUAAGGACCACCUGACUUUAGGCACCUUCCCUGCAGUGCCCCCUACCCUCACUGCUGUGGUUUGAAUGAUGUGUGUCCCCUCAAAAUUCGUGUUGAAACUUAACCCCCAAUGCAACAGUGUUAAGAAGUGGGACCUUUAGGAGGUGAUCAGGUCCUCAUGAAUGGAUUAGUGCCUUACGGAGGGGCUUGAGUGGGGCACUUCCACCCCUUCCAUCUCGUCUGCCACGUGGGGACACAGCAGUUCUCCCCUCUGGAGGAUGCAGCAAUAAGGCUGCAGAGAGCAGCCCUCACCAGACACCAGACCUACCCUGAUCUUGGACUUCCUACCUCCAGAACUGUGAAAAAUAAAGUUCUAUUUUUUAAUAAUCUAUCUAGUCUGCAAUAUUUUGUUACAACAACACAGAUGGACUAAGACACAUCCCAACAGCCACAUUCAUGGCACGGCUGCCAUAUUGGCACAGACUCCUCCCCCAGUCUCUCUGAUUGGCUCAGAGGUGGGCACAUGGUCCAUGCUGGGCCAUUCAGAGCCCUUCUGUGCACAUACUUCCGGUCCUCCCUGCAGAUCAUGAUCCGGUUCUCUACUGUGCUCUGUGCUCUGCGCUCUGCACCCUGCGCUGCGCUGGCCUGAUUGAGCUGCAUCAGCCCACCCCCUGCCCUGGCUUCCUUUUGGGUUUGCCUGGUGGGAAUCUCAGCAGGGGAUCAGAGGGGCAGAGAGUACUGCCAGGGCAGGGGACUCACUCCUGGCUUCAUCCCAGCUAGUUUCCUUUUGCUGGCUACAACCCCAUGAGGGUCACGGCUCCCCAAGGCAGCCUCUCCAUGUAGGGGUUCAGGGCCAGGCUCUCUGCUCUCGGUCCUCUAGGUGAGGGGGGCUAACAGCCUCACCGUUGCUGGCCUCAAGAAAUGAUGCUGUUCCCUGUGGUUUCCUUGCCCCCUGCCCACACUUUUGUAGAUAGUCUCUUUACCAAAUCCUCCUGGGAUAAACCUGACUCAACUGUGCCAACUGGUUUCUGCCAGAACCAUGGUCUCCCCCUUGGAAUUGGAAGCAAAGCUGAGAAAGAAAAGUCAUGUUUUGCAUGAGUGGUGGAACUAAAGACAUGUCUACUGUGUGGCAUAGGUGGGCUGUGGGUGAAGCGGAUGAAGGCGAUACAGAGCGAGGACGUGGCCUCAAACCAAGAGCAGCAUUCUCCCUUCCCUGCUUCCAUCCGUUUCUGGUCUGCGUGCCAGCCCUGGUAUGUAAGCCUGUCCCAGAAUCCCCUGUGUAAAUUCACUUUUCUGUGAAAUGAUCCCAGAUCGUUCGGUUAUAUGCAACCAAAAGUCCUCGCCCAUACAUCAUCAUACGGCCUAAAGCGUCAGGCGACUUCGGUAUGUUUUUAAAACAAAAACAUAAGAAUUUUUUUCUUCCUUCUAGCUACCAACUUGCUCACAAACCCAACACUCUAUAAAAUGUUGAUUUCAGGUACUGUUAGAGAAAGGUGGUCGUUAGCAGAACUUAGCAGGGAUGACUCAGGCAGAGCACCCUGGGCACUGGAGAAGAAGUAUCCUGUGAUGGAAUCCAGACAUUCCAAGAGUUUACAGAGAGAAAAAUCGAUGACGGGGCUACAGCCGUGCUGUCAUGUAUCUGAGCCACAGCAAUUUUAGCAGAAUUUCUAGAGACCAUCUAGAAAUUAUCUCUGCUUAUCCUUUCACUCACCUGACCAUCUGACAUCCAUCCUGGGCCACUAGGUCUUGGUGGUGUCUGAACUGGUGCAGCCUUGUUUGGAAGGCAUUGAUGUUUAGUGUUGGAGCACACAGGAAGGGCAGUGAAUGAGAAAACUAUAGUCAUGCAUCACUUAAUGAUGAGAAUAUGUUCUGCAAAAUGCAUUGUUAGGCAAUUUCAUAUUUACACAAACAUCAUAGAGCGUGCCUGCAGCUCCUCUAGGUGGUAUAGCCUAUUACACACCUAGGCUGCAUGCUGGAGCCUCUUGCUCCUUGCUGCAGACCUGUACAGCGUGUGACUGUACUGAAUACUACAGGCAGUUGUGACACAAUGCUAAGUAUUUGUGUAUCUAAACAUAUCUCAACAUAGAAAAGGUGUAGUAAAAAUAUUAUGAUCUUAUAUGGAACUGCCACCAUAUACAUGGUUCUUGUUGCCUCAAACGCCAUCUUGCGGCACGGGACUGUACUUCUGUGGGUCAGCUUUACUCUGAAAUGUCUGUGUCUUAACCUGUAACUUUCAACCUGGACAGUGAAGAACAUAGUACAAAAUAUCUGUCCUGGCCAAACUUUGUUUUUCAGGUACACAGAGGCCAUUGAGAAUGUUGAAUAAUAACUGAAGUUGUGCUUCCUGUGGAGAUGGUACUAAGAAAUGCUGUAUUCCAGUGUUUCCAACACUGAUAUUUGUGUAUCGUUGCAAGGGGGUCCUGGACCCUACGCCAAGGACCCUGAUUUGAUCAGUUUCUUCAUGUGAGGGCUGACUGUGGGGCCACACAUUGUGAUGGAUCAGGAAUAUAUAUAUUUUUUUCUUUUUUUCGGGAUGGAGUUUCACUCUUGUCGUUCAGGCUGGAGUGCAGUGGUGCCAUCUCGACUCACUGCAACCUCCGCCUCCCGGGUUCAAGCGAUUCUCCUGCCUCAGUCCCCAGACACAUUUGCCAAGCCACCUGUUUGCUUGUGAGCACCAGGAGCAAGAGAGGAGCAGAAAUACCCCAAAGUUCUGCUAUGGCUUCAUCCCUCUGCUUUAUUUAAAUGUAGUGGGGUUCGGCACGGCUGUUAAACACGAGGUGAUUUUAGAAGUAAUGCAACAUCCACUUGUUCCUCCAAAUGAGAGCUAUGAUCCUGCUCACCCACUGUCUGUAUUUCAGCUGCCCAGGUGUCAGCUUAUCAUCUCUUUCCACAGCCUUUUCAUCAUUCUCAGUGAAUUCCAACAUCUCCUUUUUACCACGAUUCACUGAAAUCACAAGGCUCAUGCUAGUUCUCAGUGUCAACUCCUCCAUCUUCUACAGAAGUGCACCUUUCUUCCAUUCUUCUUAUGCAAACGUAACAUUCUGUUCCAGUUCAUUUUUCUAACAGUAACAUUUGUUUAAUUCACAAAUUAAUUCUUGUAGACAUGGCUGUUGGAUGACCCCGAUUGGAAGUGACUUGUCUUGCUUUAUGUCCUAAGACCAUCUUUUUGGCCUCUAUCCAUCUGAAGGCAGCUGCAUCAGGCCUCUCCUUUCAUAUUCCGAAUGGGAAGCUGCGGCCCCACUCUCUCCAGGCUGUCUGCGUCGCCUGCUCCCUGUCUGCUAGCGCAUUGGAGAGGGCAGCCAGGCCCAGGGCAGCUGUGACUGCAGCCGUCUUGCCCUCCCGUCUGUUUCAGCAGAGCCCAUGCUGGCUUGGAACACAGGACAGACAGCUUCUCCUGGACCCUGGAUCCUGCCCCUGACCUUGGGAUGUCACCGUCAGCAAAUCCCCAAAGGCUCCGACUGACGACUCCUAUUAGGAUUCCAUCUGCUCAUGCUUUAAUGUUUUUGACCUGGGAGGAGAGACGAAGGCUUGUUUUUCCUGUGUUGGGACGUCAGUGGGGGACUGGCCCCAGCCCAAGCCUGUGUUCUCCAUUGCUAUUAUUUGCAAGUUAAUAUGAUGAUUUGAGCCAAAAUAAACUCAAGACAGGCUGCA